rnacentral:rRNA from 1 species
AAUGAACGCUGGCGGCAGGCCUAACACAUGCAAGUCGAACGCACCUUUCGGGGUGAGUGGCGGACGGGUGAGUAACGCGUGGGAAUAUGCCCUUUGGUACGGAAUAGUCCUGGGAAACUGGGGGUAAUACCGUAUGUGCCCUUCGGGGAAAGAUUUAUCGCCAAAGGAUUAGUCCGCGUUGGAUUAGGUAGUUGGUGGGGUAAAAGCCUACCAAGCCUUCGAUCUGUAGCUGGUCUGAGAGGACGACCAGCCACACUGGAACUGAGACACGGUCCAGACUCCUACGGGAGGCAGCAGUGGGGAAUUUUGGACAAUGGGCGCAAGCCUGAUCCAGCAAUGCCGCGUGCAGGAUGAAGGCCUUCGGUUGUAAACUGCUUUUGUACGGAACGAAACGGACUCUUUCUUAAUAAAGAAGAGCUAAUGACGGUACCGUAAGAAUAAG